rnacentral:rRNA from 1 species
AGGGAAUCUUCCACAAUGGACGAAAGUCUGAUGGAGCAACGCCGCGUGAGUGAUGAAGGGUUUCGGCUCGUAAAACUCUGUUGUUGGAGAAGAACGGGUGUCAGAGUAACUGUUGACAUCGUGACGGUAUCCAACCAGAAAGCCACGGCUAACUACGUGCCAGCAGCCGCGGUAAUACGUAGGUGGCAAGCGUUGUCCGGAUUAUUGGGCGUAAAGCGAGCGCAGGCGGUUUUUUAGGUCUGAUGUGAAAGCCUUCGGCUUAACCGGAGAAGUGCAUCGGAAACCGGGAGACUUGAGUGCAGAAGAGGACAGUGGAACUCCAUGUGUAGCGGUGAAAUGCGUAGAUAUAUGGAAGAACACCAGUGGCGAAGGCGGCUGUCUGGUCUGCAACUGACGCUGAGGCUCGAAAGCAUGGGUAGCG